AGUUGGUGGAGUGAUUUGUCUGGUUAAUUCCGUUAACGAACGAGACCUUAACCUGCUAAAUAGUUACGUAAGCCUUUCUACUUUGCCCAUUCUGUCGUCGUGUUAGGGGGCAACUCCGAAGCACGGCGGCAGGGUGGGUGGGGAUGGCUUUACGCUUAACUUCUUAGAGGGACUAUUCGUUUCCAGCGAAUGGAAGUUUGAGGCAAUAACAGGU
rnacentral:rRNA from 1 species